AGCUCCAAUAGCGUAUAUUUAAGUUGUUGCAGUUAAAAAGCUCGUAGUUGAAUUUCUGGCUAGUCCGGUUCUCGGCAUCUCGUCGGCUCAGGGCUUAGUCAUCCGUAGGGGAAGCCUGUGCGUCCUUCAGUGGUCGGCAGGGGGAACCUACAUUUUACUGUGAAAAAAUUAGAGUGCUUCAGGCAGGCAAUCGCUUGAAUACUCCAGCAUGGAAUAAUGGAAUAGGACUUUGGCCUAUUUGUUGGUUUGAGGUCAGAGUAAUGAUUAACUGUCUUGGUAUUGAUAUGAUGUAUGUAGUUUUAUACUUCAAAAUAAAUUUCAUUUUCAAGUUGUUAAUAGGGACAGUUGGGGGCAUUCGUAUUUAAUUGUCAGAGGUGAAAUUCUUGGAUUUAUUAAAGAC
rnacentral:rRNA from 1 species